GGGGUUGUUGCUAAGGUGUUUCUAAGUGGUUGCUAGGUGGUUGCUAAGGUGUUGCUAUGGUAUCUGGGGUGGUUGCUAAGGUGUUUCUAGGUGGUUGCUAGGUGGUUGCUAAGGUGUUGCUAUGGUAUCCGGGGUGGUUGCUAAGAUGUUGCUAGGUGGUUGCUAAGGUGUUGCUAUGGUAUCUGGGAUGGUUGCUAAGGUGUUGCUAGGUGGUUGCUAGGCAGUUGCUAAGGUGUUGCUAUGGUAUCCUGGGUGGUUGCUAAGGUGUUUCUAGGUGGUUGCUAAGGUGUUGCUAGGUGGUUGCUAAGGUGUUGCUAGGUGGUUGCUAAGGUGUUGCUAUGGUAUCCGGGGUGGUUGCUAAGGUGUUGCUAGGUGGUUGCUAGGCGGUUGCUUAAGUGUUGCUAUGGUAUCCGGGGUGGAUGCUAUGGUGUGGUUGCUAAGGUGUUGCUAGGUGGUUGCUAAGGUGUUGCUAUGGUAUCCAGGGUGGUUGCUAAGGUGUUGCUAGGUGGUUGCUAAGGUGUUGCUAUGGUAUCCUGGGUGGUUGCUAAGGUGUUUCUAGGUGGUUGCUAAGGUGUUGCUAGGUGGUUGCUAAGGUGUUGCUAUGGUAUCCAGGGUGGUUGCUAAGGUGUUGCUAGGUGGUUGCUAGGUGGUUGCUAGGGUGUUGCUAGGUGGUUGCUAAGGUGUUGCUAGGUGGUUGCUAAGGUGUUGCUAUGGUAUCCAGGGUGGUUGCUAAGGUGUUGCUAGGUGGUUGCUAAGGUGUUGCUAGGUGGUUGCUAAGGUGUUGCUAUGGUAUCCGGGGUGGUUGCUAAGGUGUUGCUAGGUGGUUGCAAGGUGGUUGCUAAGGUGUUGCUAGGUGGUUGCUAAGGUGUUGCUAUGGUGUCUAGGGUGGUUGCUAAGGUGUUGCUAGGUGGUUGCUAAGAUGUUGCUAUGGUAUCUGGGGUGGUUGCUAAGGUGUUGCUAGGUGUAUCUAACUGGUCGCUAGGCAGUUGCUACCAUUUCUAAAGUGGUUGCUAAGCAGUUGCUAGGCAGUUGCUAACGUUUUCCAGGUGGUUGCUAAGGUGUUGCUAGGUGGUUGCUAAGAUGUUGCUAUGGUAUCUGGGGUGGUUGCUAAGGUGUUGCUAGGUGUAUCUAACUGGUCGCUAGGCAGUUGCUACCAUUUCUAAAGUGGUUGCUAAGCAGUUGCUAGGCAGUUGCUAACGUUUUCCAGGUGGUUGCUAAGGUGUUGCUAUCUGGUUGCUAGGCAGUUGCUAACGUAUUACACAUGGUUGCUAAGUGGUUGCUAGGCAGUUGCUAAUGUUUUCCAGGUGGUUGCUAAGGUGUAUCUAACUGGUUCCUAGGCAGUAGUAGAUAAAAAGAAAGAGUGUUAAAUGUAGAAGUACAGAAAAAGGGAGAGCCUGAAAUAGAGAAGUAGAGAGAAAAUCAGCGUGAGAAGUAGAGAAAGAACACCCGAGAAUGUGAGAAAAAGAGUGACAAGUAGAGAGAAAUAUUGAGCGAGAGAAAGAGAAUUAGGGAAAAAGAGAGAUCGAGAAAUAAAGAAGUAGAGAAAGAAAAAGGAUGUAGUAGAGAGAUAGAUAGAAAGAGAAAGCAAGACAGAAAAGUAGAGUGAAAGAGAAGUAGAGAGAAGAGCGAGAAAUAAAGAGAGAGUAAGAGAGAAAUAGAGAAAUAGAAAAGUAGAAAGAAAGAGACAUAGAAAAGUAGAGAGAGUGAGAAAGAGAGAGUGAGAAAUAGAGAAGUAGAGAGAGAGUGAGAAAGAGAGAGUGAGAAAUAGAGAAGUAUAGAGAGUGAGAAAUAGAGACGUAGAGAGAGAGUGAGAAAGAGAGUGAGAAAUAGAGAAGUAGUGAGAGAGUGAGAAAUAGAGACGUAGAGAGAGAGUGAAAAAGAGAGUGAGAAAUAUAGAAGUAGAGAGAGUGAGAAAUAAAGAGAAAUAGAGACGUAGAGAGAGAGUGAAAAAGAGAGUGAGAAAUAUAGAAGUAGAGAGAGAGUGAGAAAUAGAGACGUAGAGAGAGAGUGAGAAAUAGAGACGUACAGAGAGAGUGAGAAAGAGUGAGAAAUAGAGAAGUAGAGAGAGUGAGUAAUAGAGACGUAGAAAAGAGUGAGAAAGAGAGAGUGAGAAAUAGAGAAGUAGAGAGUGAGAAAUAGAGACAUAGAGAGAGAGUGAGAAAUAGAGAAGUAGAGAGCAAAAGAGAGAGUGAGAAGGAGAGAGCAAAAGAGAGAGUGAGACAGAGAAGUAGAGAGCAAACGAGAGAGUGAGAAGUAGAGAAGUAGAGAGCAAAAGAAAGAGUGAGAAAUAGAGAAGUAGAGAGAGAGUGGGAAAGAUAGAGUGAGAAUUAGAGAAGUAGAGAGAGAGUGAGAAAGAGAGAGUGAGAUAGAGAAGUAGAGAGAGAGUGAGAAAUAGAGACGUAGAGAGAGUGAGAAAGAGAGAGUGAGAUAGAGAAGUAGAGAGAGAGUGAGAAAUAGAGUGAGAUAGAGAAGUAGAGAGAGUGAGAAAUAGAGUGAGAAAUAGAGACGUAGAGAGAGAGUGAGAAAGAGAGUGAGAAAUAGAGGAGUAGAGAGCAAAAGAGAGUGAGAAAUAGAGAAGUAGAGAGCAAAAGAGAGAGUGAGAAGUAGAGAAGUAGAGAGCAAAAGAAAGAGUGAGAAAUAUAGAAAUAGAGAGAGAGUGGGAAAGAGAGUGAGAAUUAGAGAAGUAGAGAGCGAAAGAGAGAGUGAGAAAGAGAGAGUGGUUGCUAAGCAGUUAAUAGGUGGUUGCUAAACCCUGGCUGGGGUGCCGGGGUGUCCAAACUUUUGACUGAUAGCUGCUCCAUACAGCAGCUCCUCC